GUGGCUUUAUAGAUGGGCUCGUCGAAACACGGGAAGGCCUUUCUAGCGUGAGUCGGAGAGAACUGCGUCACCGCAAGAUACCUGCAGAAUAACAGCAGGAAUAAGAACAUAAGAGAGGCAAUGAAUGAGCCCACCUGCAAAACCAUUGAGAAUCCUGCCUCAAACACCUGCUUGACUACUGGUGACAAACUGUAGCUGUUUAAAGGUGCAGGAGUAAAACUGUUGGAAAUUGCUGUCAUGGUGGAGCAACAGUUUGAAGAAAAUCUAGCUGAACAUCUUAGUUAAAGAUUCUCUGAGGAUGGAGAUCUGGAGUGUCUCAGAGUGUCUCGCCCUUGAGCCGGAGCAGAUGUAGACAAGGAAGUGACACAACAUUUAGCUUUGAUAAGAGAGAUCAGCCACAUUCAUGUAUGAAGCCAGAUUUGGGAUUACAAAUAUCCGUUCUUGGUUACUUCGUACUUCACACCCAAGAUGACAGCUGAGGGAAAUGUUUAAUAUAUGAAAGUCAUACAAGAUUGGAAAUUUUGAAUGAGGAACAACCGGGCUAAACAACAAUCAGUCAGGUUUCAAAAGUGGAUAUUCAACAGAGACUGCCUUGCUGUCAAUCACCAAAGCCCUGUGGCUUGUGAGAACCGCCUCCAUCAUCUACCCACAUUCUGAGGGAUCUGUCUGCAGCACAGUAAGUUACCAGAUCCUAGUGAUCACAGUAUAAGGAGGGGGCCCAGCACCGAAUCCUGAGUUACCCCUAUGGAUAGAUGAUUUGAUUUAGACACCACUCCCUUGUAAGAUGAAAAACACAUUAUGAAUAAAAUAAAGUGGAUGUUAUGAUUGUUUAAUCCAAACAUAAUGAGUAGCACAUUAAUUUUGGAUAAUACCAAGCUGCAUUACUUUUGCCAAUAGCAACAGUGUAAGAGAGAGAAAUAAAUAAGCAGGUAAAGAUGAAGUGCGUGGAGAGUUUUGAGGCUAAUACUGAACCAUAAAUGAGCAUGCCCUUGCUUCCUUUCAGCCAGCUUUAUAAGCUCGCCAUAGUCAAGCUCAAUACUCUCCAAAAAAGCUCGGAAAGACU